rnacentral:rRNA from 1 species
AAUGGUAACAUUAGAGAGAUGUGGUGUUUGUGCAUUAACGCAUACCUUUCAGUACUAGUUGAAGUAAUCUGGAAAGAUUCAACGUAGAGGGUGAUAUUCCCGUAAACAACGUACAUGGGAAGGUUAAUGUUUUUGUUACCGAGUAACUGGCCUUGACAGUGGCUAGUGAAUAUGGGGGAAAGCAGCCUCCAAGACUAAAUACAACUUAAGACCGAUAGUGAAUAGUAUCGUGAGAGAAAUCUGAAAAGUACCCUGAAAGGGGUGUGAAAAGCGCAUGAAACCAAAUAGUUACAUAAUUGUAUGGCUUGAAAGGAACAUUUUGUGUUUUACAUUUACUCGCAAGAGUUUUUGUAAUACGCGCGUUCUAGAGUUAUACAUUCCGUCUCGAAACACGGGCCAGGGAGUUUUUUGUUAUGGCGAGCCUAAAAGUUUAAGCUUGUAAGCGAAGGGAAACCGACAUUCUGCAUUUUUGAUUAUUCAAUUUGAGAGAAGGGGUCUGAAAGGGCCUUUAGUCAUAGCAUCAAGACUAGAAACUCCGCGAUCGUGCCUUGGGUAGGAUGAAGCCUGGAGAAAUCUGGGUAGAGGUCCGCAAUGGUCUUGACGUGCAAAUCAGUCACCUGACCUGAGGCAAGGGGCCAAAAGCCAAUCUAGCGGAGUGAUAGCUAGUUCCCACCGAAGUAGAUCUCAGUCUAGCCUAAGUGGACAUUGUUGGCGUUGUAGAGCACUGAUAGAAUUAGUUUGGGGGCUAACGCCCCUACUGUUCCUUCAAACUCCGAAUGUGCCAAUAUGUGAGAAACUUGGAGACGGGUUUAUGUGGGGUAAGCCUCAUAACCGAGAGGGGAGCAACCCAGACUAUAGUUAAGGUCCCAAAAUAUUAGCUAAGUGUCAAACGGAAGAGUGUGUUUGAGCGAAGACAGCAGGAAGGUAGGCUUAGAAGCAGCCACCCUUUAAAGAAUGUGUAACAACUCACCUGUCGAGUUCUUACGCCUCGAAAAUGGACGGGGCUAAAGUUAAUUACCGAUACUAUAGACCACGAAUUAUAUCGUGUGUGGUAGGUGGGCGUAGAGAGUGGAUAGAAGUAGGGUCGUGAGAUCCUAUGGACCGCUUUCUAUUGCAGAUCCUGGUGGUAGUAGCAGCGUAGUGAAGUGAGAAUCUUCAUCACCGUAGAAGCAAGGUUUUCCUGGCAACGCGUCGUCGACCAGGAGUUAGCCGGUCCUAAGUGUAAUCCGAAGGGACUUACACGAAUAGGGAAACAAGUUAAUAUUCUUGUGCCUUGGUGUAUUCGUUAAUUUAUAGUAUACGCUUCGAGAUAUGGUGAGCAGAGCCGUCGCUCUGUCUAAUUAUUCAAGGUUUAGGGAGUGUCGUAAUGACGAGAACUAUUCCGAGUUGAGAAUGGCCAACCAUUGGGUUGGUUCACUAAAUUCUGGGGGACAAUGAAAAUUAUUAUAAAUUGAAUAUACUGAGUCCGUACCAAGAUCCGACACUGGUGUCUUUAGGUUAGUAGCCUAAGGUGUAUGGAGUACAAAGUAGGCGAGGGAAUUCGGCAAAUUAGUCCUGUAACUUCGGAAGAAAGGAUACCUGCUUUUUUUAUGAGGAAUAGGGAUAGCAGGUCGCAGUGACAAGGGGGUCCCGACUGUUUAAUAAAAACACAGGAGACUGCUAGUCCGCAAGGAUGUGUAUAGUCUUUGAAACUUGGUCAGUGGCGGUACCUAAAACUCAAGUUCAAUUGAGCUAAGGGCCGCUUAACACCGGGAGUAACUCUGACUCUCUUAAGGUAGCCAAAUGCCUUGUCGGGUAAGUUCCGACGUGCAUGAAUAGUUCAACGAGGGCCCUACUGUCCCCGUCUGCAACUCCGUGAACCCACAUUAGGUGGACGAACAGUCCAUCGACUUCCAUCGGGAAGAGAAGUCCCUGUGGAGCUUUACUGCAGCUUGUUGUUGUGAUGCGGUUCUAAUUUCAGAGAGUAACCGGGAGCCGUUAUGCACAUACUUUUGGGUAUGUGAUAGGCAAAAGUGUAACACCGGUAUCUUAGAGUUACGUCACUAACCUCAUUUUGAGGGACAUCGGCAGGUGGGCAGUUCGGCUGGGGCGGCACCCCUUUGAAAAG